rnacentral:rRNA from 1 species
GACGAACGCUGGCGGCAUGCCUAAUACAUGCAAGUCGAACGAGCUGACAGAGUGCUUGCACUCUCGACGCGAGUGGCGGACGGGUGAGUAACACGUGGGAAACCUACCUGUAAGUAGGGGAUAACAUUCGGAAACGGAUGCUAAUACCCUAUAGGUUUCAGUUCCGCAUGGAACUGAAAGGAAAGACGGCUUUGCUGUCGCUUACAGAUGGUCCCGCGGCGCAUUAGCUAGUUGGUGGGAUAAAAGCUCACCAAGGCUUUGAUGCGUAGCCGACCUGAGAGGGUAACCGGCCACACUGGGACUGAGACACGGCCCAGACUCCUACGGGUGGCUG